CCAGUCUUAAUAAUCAUCACCAACCAACUAUUAACAAACAUUCUUAUGGCAACAAGAAAACAAAAAUUCCACAAAACAUAUUUAAUUUCAUUUCCAAAUAAGUACAACCAAUAAUAUUUGAAAAUGAAAAAGAACAUAAAAAGUGCAAUCCUUCAAAAGUACACCACUAAAAAAAACAACUCUCACAACACCUAAUUCAAACAUUUUUUUCUCUUUCCAAGAAACUAAGACUCAACAUAGUUUCAAUUCCGUCUGCUUUAUCAUCAACUUCGAAAGGCUUCGAACUUUUAGCCUUCACCUUAGACCCUCUACGCCUUGAACUCUACAUUUCAACAGUGACCUC
rnacentral:lncRNA from 1 species